AGAGAGGUUGAAGGAGGCUCCUCCUCCAGAGGGGGCUGAGAUCUUACCCAGGGUGACAUCUUCAUGAUAAAACCAGUACAGGAUUGGGGAGGAGCCUCUCAGGGCCUCACAGUGAAGCUCCAGCUGGUCCCCCACCACAGCCUGGGCCCUGGGAGCCCUGAAGGUGAGGAUGGGACGAGACACUGGAACUGAGGGAGGAAAAACGUUAUGUAUCAGCUGCUUCUGCUAAAAUAUAUUCCUUCAUGCUAAAGACAUUUCAAAUGGAAGAAUGUUUUUCUCAGUUUUUAAUGCCCUUGUGACAUUACUCAAAACUCAGCAACAUUUUCAGAUCUCCAGAAAGAACAACAUUUGUGUAGUGCUAUAAACAGCUUGGAAUACUGGAAUAUACAAACUCAAAUGUGUUUGAAGAAUGUGAAAACAAAGAUUAAACUGAAACUCAGGUGUCUUAGAGGUAAAAAGACAGUUGGAGAGUGGAGAAAUCAGUUCAACAGAAAAUGAAGAACAAGAGAGACUUGCUGCUUACAUCACCAGGGAUGUAAUUGCAUCUGGGCUGCAUCAGAAAUAGGGCCCACAAGAGAAUGAGUAUUGUCAAGUUAUUUGCUCAUUUUUACAUUCAUUUAUCCAUCAAAAAUUAAUUGAACAAAAAUUUUCAAAAAAAUUGAGCAAAAAUAAAAAUUAAUUGAGCAUUUAAUAAGUCCCCAAAAUGGCAUGACAUGCUAGGGAAUCAGUGAUGAGAAAGACAUAGUUGCUGCUCUCAUAGAGCCUACAAUCCAGAAGGAUGAGAGGCAGCAAUUAAAUAAAAAUACAGUAAAUUACAAUUAAAACUUUGAUAAUUGAUAAAGGACAGGGUACUAUGAAAUGUAUGUGUUAGUCAAGGAAAGCUUCCUCACAAAAUGACCUUUGAAAUUAACAUUGAAAUUAACCAGUUGAUGAUGGAGGUGGAGAGUGCACCAGGCAGGCAAACAGUAUGUGCAAAGGCCCUGAGUUGGGAAUAAGACUGGCGCAUUUGAAUUAUUGAAAUAAAGUAGCAUCACACUGAGAAGAGUCUGCAAACUACCAUGAAAUAGGAGACUGGAGAUCUAGGCUGGACUUCAUAAGCCAUGAAAGGAUUUUCAUCCUUCUUCACAGAGCAAUGGGAAGUCUAUCAGUCUAUCUAUGCAGGGCUGUGAGAUGAUCAAAUCUGUCCCUUUUAAAAGACCAUUUUGACCUCUGUGCAUGAAAUGGACUGUGGUGGAAUGGAAGUGGAAUUGAGGGAUAGAUGAGUGGCACUGCAGUAGUCAAAAUGAUGGUGGACUUGUCUAGAUAGAGGUGGUAGAGAUAGAGACCCAAGAAAUAUUUAGGAAGUCAAAUCAACAGGACUUAAUGAUUAACUGGCUGUGAGGGGUGAGGAAGAGAAAUGUUGAGGAAGACUCCUCUUUUCCUGCUUUGUGUAUCUGUUGAGAAGAGAUGUGUUUCACAGAGGUAGGAACCCUUGAAAGAGGAAGGGAAUGUCAGCAGUUCAGUUUUAGAAAUGCUGAGAUUGAUGUGCUUUUGAGAUAUUUGAGUGAAGAUAUGUCAUGUGCAGAUGCUCAAGUGGGAGGUCCCUUUUAGAGAUAGAAGUUUAGGAAUCAUUAUUUAUAGAUGACAAGGCCAUUUAUACAUGACAUACCCAGGAUCAUCCAGAGAAAGGAUUUAGAUAAGAGAAGAGGGCAUAAGUCAAAGUUCUGGAACAUGCCAAUGCUUAAAGGUUUUCUAUAAAAGGAGGAGCCAGUAAAGAAGACUGAGAAGAAGUGGCCAGGGAGAGAAGAGAGCCAGAAGAAGAUAGAUUCACUGAAGGGAGGGUUUCAAGCAGGAAGAAAUGGUAAACAACAUGUAAUAUAUCUGAGAUGUCAAGGAAGAUGAGGAUUGAAAAAUGGCCAUUGGAUUUAAAGCCUUGAAGGUCAUCAGUGACCUUUGUGAGAAACAUUUUGGUGGAGAGGUUGGAAAAACCUAGUAGAUUGGAGCCUAGUGGAUAAUGAGGACAUGGAGACAGUCUGGGUAACUGACUGUUUUUGGAAGUUUAGCCAUGAAGGGGUAGUGUAUGGAGGUAUAAGUGGGACCAAGAGAGGGUUUUCCUUGGAUAUGGGAGAGAUAUACCAUGUUACAUGCCAGUGCAAAGGAUCCUACAGAGACAGAGAUGUUGGGGGCCACAGAAGAGAAAGGGAUAAUCAGUUACAUAGCUUCUGAGAAUGCACAAAAUGAUGAAAUCUGGAGACCAGAUGGAGAUGUUCACCUAUGGGGAGGGAAGUCCUCUCCUCUAUAUUUUAGGAAAAGGACAGAUGAGUUACUGGGUGGAUACAGAACUAGACACUCAAUUUGGUGGUGGGAGUGGAGGGGUUAUUGUCUAGUGGAGUAGGAAUUAGUGGAGGUAUUAAUGACCUGGGAGUUCUGUUGAGGUCUGAGAACAAUAGUGAUAGGAGGAGCUGACGCAAGCAGAAGGCCAGGGGGUGGUUGUCAAAUAAUAAGGGCUUAAAAUUGUCCUUUUGGAGAUGAAGUAGUGUAUGUAUGUGGGAGUGGCUGACUGGUGUGGAGAGGACAGGCCAUGGUGUUAAGGGGGUUAUACAUGUGACCAUGAGAGUCAUGAAAUGAUGGCAGAUUGUGGAGUAUGGAGAAAGACUGAAAGUACAGUGCCAAAGCCUUCACUGAGAGUGAGCAUAACUAGGAGUCUGCCUGUGACAAGGAUGCAUGGAAGAUCUUGAUGUUGCUGAAUGGAACAGGAGCAGAUGAAGAUGCUGGGGACCCAAGUGGUUGAGUCACACAGCUAGUAAGUGAAGAGGCAGCAGUCAAACCCAGGAAAGGAAACUGAUGCCGCUUCCAGGACCAACCAAGACUGGACUCUCUGUCACCAGUAUAGACCCAAAUCACACUGUCUCCUUCAACGUUGGACCUGGC
rnacentral:lncRNA from 1 species